rnacentral:lncRNA from 1 species
UGAGCCUUGAUCAGAGUAACUGUCUUGGCUACAUUUCUUCUUUUGCCCCGUCUAGAUUCCUCUCUUACAGCUCGAGCGGCCUUCUCAGUCGAACCGUUCACGUUGCGAGCUGCUGGCGGCCGCAACAUUUUGGCGCCAGAACUGGGACCUGAAGAAUGGCAGAGAGAUGCUAAGAGGAACGCUGCAUUGGAGCUCCACAGGAAAGGAUCUUCGUAUCGGACAUCGGAGCAACGGACAGGUACACAUGCUAGCGCUAGCUUAAAAUUUCAGUUUUGUAAAGUGUUGCUGAGGAUGCGGUAGGAUACGAAUUAAGCUUGAAUCAGUGCUAACCCAACGCUGGUUCUGCUUGGGUCAGCAGCGUGUUAAUCGGAACUAGAAACGGAAACAGGCAGGUUAGCCGCAGCUUUUUAGGAAGCUGCUUAGGUGGAAGAAGAAAGGGUUUAAAGUCAUGGAUCAGGCGGUAGGCCGUAGCUCUCCGAAGCUACAUGAGGUGUGAGAAAAGAAAGGGUUUAUUAAAAGGAAUAGGCGUAUUGCCCCAGUUAAUAAAAAAUGCAUCAUAAGGGAGGAAAAUGUCCCAAAAAGCAGAGAGAAAUAUCUCUCUGGGCCUUAUAGCAGGAGUACUCUGUUCCCUUUUGUGUCUUGUCUAAUGUCCGGUGCACCAAUCUGUUCUCGUGUUCGAUUCAUGUAUGUUCGUGUCCAGUCUAUAUGAAUGAAUGUUCUAUGUUUUGUGUUGGAUAAUAAAGAUGGUAUAAAAAACUUUAUCUGCAAAGCCGAGAGCUGCCACAUGUUUCAGCCAGGAAUCAGACACGUGGCGAGAGGGCCCCUGCUAGAAAAACUGUUCGUUUUAGGAAAUAAGGUCGAGUGCACAGCCUCUAAGUUUCAGAGUAAAAAAGCUAAUAAAUGGUUCAUGAUUAAUGUGUUUGACAAUGGUAAAGUGUUUUUUAUUUUUAUGAUUGUAGCUACAAAAAUUAUUAUUCUCUGAUUGGUCUAAAUGUAACUGCUUCAUUUGGUUCUUUUUUAUUGGUAAUGUGCUCUAAGUGUUUUCACAAUCAGCUCAUAAGUUGUUGGUUAAGAUUAAUAAUUGUUACAUUGCUACAGAUGGUUAGUGUUAAAUUUGAUAACUCAAGUUUAGAGUCCUUCCAACACAUGGCAUAAGGCAGCCCAAGAGGCUGGGUCUCUAAAGAUAUUUCUAGUUUAGGUAAUAAUUAAUGUGGUUCGUAUCCUAAAUAGUAAAAUUUAAAAUAAGAUUUAAAGCAAUGUCUCUUUAUUAAAGCAUUAAAGCUUGUUUUAAUAGGUAUUCAUAGAUAUUAAUUGACAUCCAAACUUCGUAAUAUGAUAGUAAUGCUUCUAAUAUUGAUUUUAAAGAUAAUAAAUUGUUUUAAACUUGGGUUUUACUUUCCCAAGGUUAUAGGUAUUAUCCUAACCUUACACAAAAAACUUAAAAAUUAUGGUUAAAACUGCUAUUGUUCCAUUGACUGCAGCUUGCAGUUUGAUUUCAAAUUUAAGAUCUUUAAUUCACCUGUAUACUGUAAUUAAGAUAAUUACAAGAGUAAUCAUCUUAUGAGAGCGCUCAUACAGCUCACUUCAUACAAAACUGUGACAGAGUUAUCUAGUUAUGUUUGUCUUUGUGAAUAGAUUAGACAAACAGUUUGGUUAUAGUUGCUGCCUGGCAGGAAACUGCAGUACGGGCAAUUUUUUCACAACACUAAAGUUGUGAAGAACGUUUUAACUGUAAGUCAUCUUAAGAAAGAGUAUCAUAAUUUAGAGGCGUAGACAGUUAUAUUGUUUCUCUAAAAUCGGUCCUUAUUACAGGAGGGCCAAGAUGCUCAGAUUAAAAAGUGUUUCACGUUUGAGUCAAUGCAGGGCUCUGGGCAGCCCCAGAGCGGCUUGUGGCCUUUCUUUUGUUUUGCAAACAGUGCCU